rnacentral:rRNA from 1 species
AAAGCCCUUUCGGGGGUAAGUAGAGUGGCGUCCGGGUGAGUAACACGUGGGUAAUCUGCCUUCGGGUGGGGAAUAACUCAGGGAAACUUGAGCUAAUACCGCAUAAUGCAGCGGCACCUAAUGGUGAUUAGUUGUUAAAGCGGGGGAUCGCAAGACCUCGCGCCUGAAGAGGAGCCUGCGGCAGAUUAGCUAGUUGGUGAGGUAACGGCUCACCAAGGCUUCGAUCUGUAGCUGGUCUGAGAGGACGGCCAGCCACACUGGCACUGACACACGGGCCAGACUCCUACGGGAGGCAGCAGUGGGGAAUUUUGGGCAAUGGGCGAAAGCCUGACCCAGCAACGCCGCGUGAGGGAGGAAAUCCUUCGGGAUGUAAACCUCACAAGCAAGGGAAGAGAGCUAUGGGCUGAAUAAUCCCAUAGUGCGACGGUACCUUGCGUAAGCCACGGCUAACUACGUGCCAGCAGCCGCGGUGAUACGUAGGUGGCAAGCGUUGUUCGGAAUUAUUGGGCGUAAAGGGCGCGUAGGCGGUUUGUUAAGUCGGCUGUGAAAGCCCGGGGCUCAACCCCGGAGGGUCAGCCGAUACUGGCAGACUAGAGUACGGAAGAGGUAGCUGGAAUUCCCGGUGUAGCGGUGAAAUGCGUAGAUAUCGGGAGGAACACCUGAGGCGAAGGCGGGCUACUGGGCCGAUACUGACGCUGAUGCGCGAAAGCCAGGGGAGCGAACGGGAUUAGAUACCCCGGUAGUCCUGGCCCUAAACGAUGGACACUUGGUGUGUCGGGUAUUCCAGUCCCGAUGUGCCGGAGCUAACGCGUUAAGUGU